AACGAACGCUGGCGGCAUGCCUAACACAUGCAAGUCGAACGAGACCUUCGGGUCUAGUGGCGCACGGGUGCGUAACGCGUGGGAACCUGCCUUUAGGUUCGGAAUAACACAGAGAAAUUUGAGCUAAUACCGGAUGAUGUCUUCGGACCAAAGAUUUAUCGCCUUUAGAUGGGCCCGCGUUGGAUUAGCUAGUUGGUGGGGUAAAGGCCCACCAAGGCGACGAUCCAUAGCUGGUCUGAGAGGAUGAUCAGCCACACUGGGACUGAGACACGGCCCAGACUCCUACGGGAGGCAGCAGUGGGGAAUAUUGGACAAUGGGCGAAAGCCUGAUCCAGCAAUGCCGCGUGAGUGAUGAAGGCCUUAGGGUUGUAAAGCUCUUUUACCCGAGAUGAUAAUGACAGUAUCGGGAGAAUAAGCUCCGGCUAACUCCGUG
rnacentral:rRNA from 1 species